AACGAACGCUGGCGGCAUGCCUAACACAUGCAAGUCGAACGAACCUUUCGGGGUUAGUGGCGGACGGGUGAGUAACACGUGGGAACGUGCCUUUAGGUUCGGAAUAACUCAGGGAAACUUGUGCUAAUACCGGAUGUGCCCUUCGGGGGAAAGAUUAAUCGCCUUUAGAGCGGCCCGCGUCUGAUUAGCUAGUUGGUUGGGGUAAUGGCUCACCAAGGCGACGAUCAGUAGCUGGUCUGAGAGGAUGAUCAGCCACAUUGGGACUGAGACACGGCCCAAACUCCUACGGGAGGCAGCAGUGGGGAAUCUUGCGCAAUGGGCGAAAGCCUGACGCAGCCAUGCCGCGUGAAUGAUGAAGGUCUUAGGAUUGUAAAAUUCUUUCACCGGGGACGAUAAUGACGGUACCCGGAGAAGAAGCCCCGGCUAACUCCGUG
rnacentral:rRNA from 1 species